GGGUUUUGUUUCCAGUUAAGGAAUAAGCGGUGGGUGGUAGUGUCAGUUAGGGAACCAUGCCACCAUUCCGAGACAUGCUACAAGACUGGCAGAAAGUGCAGGAAAAGGCAUGCACUUCUUCGUUCCAAUAAAGGUAAAAAUAUCGGUUUGCUGCAAAUGGUAAUUUCAACAGAGGGCGAGAAUGGCGAUGGCAUGCUUUUGUGUGAGGUGCAGAGAAGUGCCACAGUCGAGAAAUCAGAGAAGAAUAUAUCACAGAACUAUGCAUAUGAGGUACAUCUCUGAAAACAGGAUAGACAAUUAUUCCUGGGAGUUUUACGACUGCUUUGUUGACUCCUGUGUACCCUUCGACUGUUUAUUUGAUUUAGGAGUCAGAAGGCUCCAAGUCAAACCAUAGUAUUGUUAGGAUCAGUUUGAACAUACACAUAACAAGAGGUCUAAGUAGUGCAUGUAUUCCAGUAGCAUGUUUAUUCAGAUUCUACAGAGAAAACCAGAGAUCCAAGUUUAUACA